UAACGUUAACUGUAUAGAUAGAAGACAAAUCUAAUGCUAAUUUAGCCAGCUAUCCCACCCUGUUUUUUCUGCCUAACUUCCCGCUGCUAAGGGACUUCAGUCAGGAUGAGAGCGGACAAAGGCCCCGAGGACACAACACAU